rnacentral:rRNA from 1 species
AUUGAACGCUGGCGGCAGGCCUAACACAUGCAAGUCGAGCGGAUGAAGGGAGCUUGCUCCUGGAUUCAGCGGCGGACGGGUGAGUAAUGCCUAGGAAUCUGCCUGGUAGUGGGGGAUAACGUCCGGAAACGGGCGCUAAUACCGCAUACGUCCUGAGGGAGAAAGUGGGGGAUCUUCGGACCUCACGCUAUCAGAUGAGCCUAGGUCGGAUUAGCUAGUUGGUGGGGUAAAGGCCUACCAAGGCGACGAUCCGUAACUGGUCUGAGAGGAUGAUCAGUCGCACUGGAACUGAGACAUGGUCCAGACUCCUACGGGAGGCAGCAGUGGGGAAUAUUGGACAAUGGGCGAAAGCCUGAUCCAGCCAUGCCGCGUGUGUGAAGAAGGUCUUCGGAUUGUAAAGCACUUUAAGUUGGGAGGAAGGGCAGUAAGUUAAUACCUUGCUGUUUUGACGUUACCAACAGAAUAAGCACCGGCUAACUUCGUG